CAGCAGCCGCGGGAAUACAGAGGGUGCGAGCGUUAAUCGGAUUUACUGGGCGUAAAGCGUGCGUAGGCGGCUUCUUAAGUCGGAUGUGAAAUCCCUGAGCUUAACUUAGGAAUUGCAUUCGAUACUGGGAAGCUAGAGUAUGGGAGAGGAUGGUAGAAUUCCAGGUGUAGCGGUGAAAUGCGUAGAGAUCUGGAGGAAUACCGAUGGCGAAGGCAGCCAUCUGGCCUAAUACUGACGCUGAGGUACGAAAGCAUGAGGAGCAAACAGGAUUAGAUACCCCCGUAGUCCCUGUCUCUUAUAC
rnacentral:rRNA from 1 species